CAGCCUUGUUGCCUCCUCAGACAGAUAAUCGCUGUUCGUCCAGUCCCGAUCUCCAGUGGCAUCCUUGUGCAGUCACAAAUCUCUGGAUGGCGCGAGAGUGCGAAGCCAUCUCAGUAAAGGCACCUCCAGCUGGUUUUGGAGCGCGGAGACCUCUCCUGGUUCACAGCCAACGGAAGCACACGAUUGGGCCUCCCGUCGCGCAUCCCAUCCCACUGCAGGCUGCACAACAGAGCAAAGAUGAGAACUCGUUUCAAAUAGACAGAGCCAAGAUGAGCAGGCCAAGACGGCGAAACAACAUACCCGCGGAGUCUGCGGCCAGCGCCGCAUGAGCGAGAUGACGCACGGCGCAAGCGAUGCCACUAACCGACGGUGCGCCAAGACCGUCUAGGUGGGAACCAGUAUUGCCGUGAGAGAAGAUGGCCCCAAAUUGCAUUGCUGCUGUUUGACCACGUCACGACCAUCCAAGUUGAACUUUAUCAAAUAUUUUGGAUUCGACAGGUUCUAAACUCAUUCCUUCAGUUUUCUUCUAAUAUCUCAUCUAAUAUGUAAAUUACGUGGGCGAUUCUUUCAACUGUGUACUAGUGUAGUACUG
rnacentral:lncRNA from 1 species